rnacentral:rRNA from 1 species
UACAGAGGUCCCAAGCGUUGUUCGGAUUCACUGGGCGUAAAGGGUGCGUAGGCGGUCGGGUAAGUCUGAUGUGAAAUCUCACAGCUUAACUGUGAAACUGCAUUGGAUACUAUUCGGCUAGAGAGUUGGAGGGGGGACUGGAAUUCUUGGUGUAGCAGUGAAAUGCGUAGAUAUCAGGAGGAACACCGAUGGCGAAGGCAGGUCUCUGGGCUGACACUGACGCUCAUGACACGAAGCGUGGGGAGCAAACAGG